AACGAACGCUGGCGGCAGGCUUAACACAUGCAAGUCGAGCGCCCCGCAAGGGGAGCGGCAGCCGGGUGAGUAACGCGUGGGAAUCUACCCAUCCCUACGGAACAACUCCGGGAAACUGGAGCUAAUACCGUAUACGCCCUUCGGGGGAAAGAUUUAUCGGGGAUGGAUGAGCCCGCGUUGGAUUAGCUAGUUGGUGGGGUAAUGGCCUACCAAGGCGACGAUCCAUAGCUGGUCUGAGAGGAUGAUCAGCCACACUGGGACUGAGACACGGCCCAGACUCCUACGGGAGGAAGCAGUGGGGAAUAUUGGACAAUGGGCGCAAGCCUGAUCCAGCCAUGCCGCGUGAGUGAUGACGGCCCUAGGGUUGUAAAGCUCUUUCGCAGGUGAAGAUAAUGACGGUAACCUGAGAAGAAGCCCCGGCUAACUUCGUGCCAGCCGCCGCAGUAAAAC
rnacentral:rRNA from 1 species